GUGCCUCGGAUGAAGGACAGGACUGGGAAUCUAAGGCCCUAGACAGCCCUCUGGCCCCUGAGCCCUCCAGUCGGCCCCGGCGUCGCUGGUCCUGUCGUAUGGGUUCUCUGGAACUCAUGGUCAAGUCUAUGCUGGACCUGAGACAGCUAGAGGCCUUCUCCAUCACCGGCUCCUCUCACAAGAAAGGCCCUGCCUCCCGUCUCAAAGCGAGCGACGCAGGGAGCACCUCCAGCCUGCAAGGGGCCUCGGACUUGGAGGAGCGGGUUAAGAGACGUCACUAUGCUGCCUGGCUGACCCCUAACCCCAACCCUGACUCUGACCUGGGCUCCCAGGGGUCUGAUGGACGUGUGCUGUACCCCGAGGGUAGCGAUUACGCUGCCAGACGACGGGGCAGGUACACUAUGUUUAGACACACACACACACACCACUUCGACCUUCAAUUUUUCCUUUCAUGUUUCUCUUUAUCUAUCAACUUUCUGUCUCUCUCUUCUUUUUGUCUUCUCACUGUUCAUUCCUUCUUUCUCCCCUAUCCCCCCCUCUCUCAGUGAUUACCUGGUGAAGGAGUCGCCCUGCAGCCUGAGUAGGGGGAACCGUGGGCCGGAGUGCCAGGACAGCCAGAGCCCAGACAGUGCCUGUUCUGUGGGCUAUGGGAGUAGAGAGCUUACUCCUGACCCGGAUCAUGGUGACUCUGAGGGCACAGCAGAGCCUCUAAGCUCAGAUGAGGACAGUUCUGACCUGGAGGAGGAAGAGGAAGAGGAGGAGGAGAGGAAGAUGGAAGUGUCUAGUAUGGAUGAGGCGAUGAGGAAAGUCUCUGACCCUCUAGAAGACAGUCACCAUCAGGCCUUCCUCAGACACCACUUUGAAACACUGGCUGAGCCCAGCAAUAUGGCCUCCCCAGAAGAGCGCAGCAGAGCUCCCAGCAUCAGUAUGUCAGCGCGAUUCCUGGCCAGAGGCUCCUACAACAGGAGAACCCCUCUGUUUUCCAAUGCCCAUGAGAGGGAGCAGGGGCCCUUGGUGUCCAAAGUGAGGCCACUGAUGGAGGGGGGCCAGGGGAAGGGCCACGAAGACGGGGAGAGGCCCAUGACCCCUGCGAGAGGGCAGGAGGGGACAAAACUGGAGGUGUGUGCUCCAGAAAGGGGCACCGUGCUGCGUUCCCAUCCCCAGAAGAAGAGGCCUCUUGGGGCUCAUCUGUGGAGGAUGUCAAGCCCUCUGGCCAGAGCUCCAACCCUGCUGGACAGAGCAGCUGGACUACAGAAGACCCAGUCUGUACAGAACCUGGCCACAGAGGUCCCCCGCUCCCUAAACCCCUCCAGUGGUAGAGGAGAGAUGUGCCCUCGCCCCCAGCACCUCCCCUUCGAUACACACCCUUCCAAAGCCCACUUCUGCCUCCCUUCUCCCUCCUCUACCUCUCCUCCCCCCCCCCUUGUCUCCUGCCUGCCCUCGGAAAUCCCCAAGCUCAGAUCCCCCUGCGACUACAUGAGUCCCACCACCAGCUCCAUGGCCAAGACCAGCCACUCUGCAUCCCUGGCAGAGGGCUUCCAUCUGGGCUUACUGUCCUGCCAUGCUUCCCUAACACCACAAGGCCUGGAGGAUGGUAGUGGAGGGAGUAGAAACACACCUAACAGCCCCAAGAGCAGGAAGCCUUUUUGUGGGCUACUGGAGGCUGAACCACCCCGCCUCACUUCCUCCUCUCCUUGUUUCCCCUCUUCCCACUCUCUCUGUUCCCGCUCCUCUUCUCUCUCUUCCCCUUCUCCCUGUCCUCUCCCUGGCCCCUCCCCUUCUCCUCCAUGUGCGACAGUCUCGCCCAAUCCCAGCUUGGCGUUGCCCCUGAGCACCCAGCCCUCCCGCAUUCCCCUGCCCAGCAAACAGUCACUCAGCCCUCGGUGCAGCCUCUGCCCGGAGACCAAACCUCAACCUGAUUGGACUGUUUCCCCGACGAGAGACCUUGCCCUCGGGAAACAACACCAAACCUUCGGUAAACGCCUCUCCCUGACUACGGCCCAGAUGCAAGGGCUUCUGGGUAACGUCCAGCUGGUGUCCGUCUCACCUACCUCACUUCCUAUAAAGCACUCAGAGAGUGCUCCAAAUUUGGAGGAGGCGGUGUGCAGAGAGCCCCUUCUAGUGUCGGUCCAGGCCAACGCCUUGACCUCUGACCCCCAGCCAGGUCUGAAUCAACGCAGACGCUCCUCUAUCAUCCUCACCGCCACUCUUCCUCUCCAUCACUCCAUCUCUCUACCUCCGCUUCAUCCUUCUCUUCAUCAAAAGUGUCUGUGCGCUUUCUGGCCUGUUUGUCCAUCUAUUUCUGUCCCUUCCUACUGUCAACACUGCUGCCUGAAUGAUCCCGCUGUCACUGUGGAAAUCUGUAGACAGGCUAUAGCAGAGCUGCACAACAGUGUGAGGAGAGCCACCCAGCUCUAUACUACGGUGCUGAGCAGUGGGUCAGAGGUUAAUGCAGAGCAGCAGGAGAUGGAGACGGUUCUGUUUGAGGCUCUGGGAACAGUGAAGACUGAACUAGACUCCCUCCCUCACCUUGUACAUAGAAGUAAAGGGCUCAGGGGGGAGGUAGCAAUGAGAGGGGAGGUAGGGGUCAAAGGUGAGGGGGACAGGACAUUGGCUCUCCUGCAGCAGUAUUCUGAGCUCUUACUAAAGUCAGUGGAGAAGAGACUGGACAACAAGAUCUAA
rnacentral:lncRNA from 8 species